rnacentral:rRNA from 1 species
AUUGAACGCUGGCGGCAUGCUUUACACAUGCAAGUCGAACGGCAGCGCGGGGCUACCUGGCGGUGAGUGGCGGACGGGUGCGUAAUAUAUCGGAACGUACCCAGAAGUGGGGGUUAAGGUAGCGAAAGGUACGCUAAUAUCGCAUACGAUCUAAGGAUGCAAGUAGGGGAGCGCAAGGCAUUAUGUUGUUGGAGGGGCCGAUAUCUGAUUAGCUAGUUGGUGAGGUAAAGGCGCACCAAGGCGACGAUCAGUAGCUGGUCUGAGAGGACGAUCAGCCACACUGGAGCUGAGACACGGUCCAGACUCCUACGGGAGGCAGCAGUGGGGAAUUUUGGACAAUGGGCGCAAGCCUGAUCCAGCAAUGCCGCGUGAGUGAAGAAGGCCUUCGGGUUGUAAAGCUCUUUUGUCAGGGAAGAAACGGUAGAGGCUAAUAUCCUGUGCUAAUGACGGUACCUGAAGAAUAAGCACCGGCUAACUACGUG